rnacentral:sRNA from 1 species
GGAUGUGAGGGUGAUUUCGCUGCGACAUCUGUCACCCCAUUGAUCACCAGGGUUGAUUUGGUUGAUCUGGCUGGGUAGGCGGGGGUCCCUUCCUCCUUCACUGCUCUAUGUGCAUCCCUCCUGAAGCUGUGCAGUGGGUCAAAGAGGACGACCUUCCCUGAUAAAAGGGGAUACAGGUACAAAAGGAUUAUUUAUUCUAUUGAUACCUUUAGUGAAUAACCAUAAUGAUUCUGUUUCUUCU